UACAGAGGUCUCAAGCGUUGUUCGGAUUCAUUGGGCGUAAAGGUGCGUAGGCGGCGCGGUAAGUCGGGUGUGAAAUCUCGGAGCUUAACUCCGAAACUGCAUUCGAUACUGCCGUGCUUGAGGACUGGAGAGGAGACUGGAAUUUACGGUGUAGCGGUGAAAUGCGUAGAUAUCGUAAGGAAGACCAGUGGCGAAGGCGGGUCUCUGGACAGUUCCUGACGCUGAGGCACGAAGGUCAGGGGAGCAAACGGG
rnacentral:rRNA from 1 species